GUUGAGAUUGGUCCACCUCCAGGACCUGGUCUUGUUCUCCUUGACUUGUUGCGGCGGGAGGGAGAAGGUCCGCGCCCGCAGGAAGAAGAUUCGCAGUGUCUUGAAAGUCAGGGCGAAGAAGAGGAUUGACAGCACGGGUGGUGUUGCAGAGCGGAAAUGAGGGUAGAGAUGUUUUAUGUUGAACCUCCGUGCACGCCGUACUUGAAGCAAACCUGUGGUGGAUGAGAAGAAUGUAGGAGGAAUCUCCCCCUCAAGUGGGCAUGUGAUUCGACUCUUCUCCUUGGCGCUGAAGCAUUACUGGGAGAUAACAGGUGCCAGUCAUGGAACGUAGACGUGAACGCUAGAAGUAACGGCCGGUACACCUGUGUCGAAAGGAAAGGAUAGAAAGGCCCUCUAUCGGAAGUGCUGGGACAGGACACAAGUGCCGCCACAGACUCCAGUGCCAACAUAGCAUGCCCAGCAGGACAACACAAGUGGCAGAGGCAACAGAACAAAACAAGAUAUGACUCCAACCUUGCCAGGAGAAGAAGCUGAAUUAAAUCUUCCAAUCAAAGGAACUGACCUGCACCCAGACCCCCGCAAGUGGAACAGAAAAUCAAAAUGUGUACAGCUUCAGAGUUCAGUUUAAGAAAACAACAUGUACUGAAAAGGAGCUGGGAGUACCAGUCCUGCACCACACUCACUUCGGAGUCGACACUCCCCUCUCGUCAUCUUAUCUUGAAACUGGAACUUGGCCAAAACCGCUAUAGGCAAUUCACUCCCUUUUGAAUUCACACCCUGAGAUCGUGGAGAGUGUUGGAGUUCGUUAUUUUGAUCUCUCACAGAUUUAUGUCCACGGAUUUCUGCAGAUGUACCGUGGAGAGCAUUCUGACUGGAUGCAUCAUCAUCUGGUACGGAGGCAUCAACGCCCAGGAUCAGAAAAAGCUACAGGGGAUUGCAUCAUGGCUAAAAGCCCCCCUCCAACAAGGACAUCUUUGAAAGGCUGUGCUCGGGGAGGCAGCAUUCAUCAUUAAGAACCUUUGCCAUCCUGGUCAAGUCCUCUUCCUCAUUACUACCAUCAGGGAGGAUGUACGGGAGCCAGAGGACCUACACUGGACAUCUUAGGAACAGCUUCUUCUCCUCCGCUAUCAGAUUUCUGAACAGUCAAUGAACCCAUGAGCAUCACCCCUUUCUGCAACAUUUACUUCUUCAUUGUAACUCAUAGUAAUUUUAUAUGUCUCGCACUGUACUGCUGCUGCAAAUGCAAAUCUCACAACAUGCGUCAGUGAAGAUAAAACUGAAUUUGAUUCUGAUUCUGAAUUAUGUUCACAUGUCAGGAAGUUUUGUUGUAGCUUUAUAAAACUCUGGAGAACUGCAGGUCACAUCUGGAGAACACAUUCAGUUCUGGUUGCAUCAUUAUAGCAAGGAUGUCUUGGCUUUGGACAGGCUGCAGAGGACAUUUACCAGGAUCUGCCUGGAUUAGAGUAUGUAUCUACUACAAGAUGACUGGAAAACUUGUGUCUUUAUUUUCUCUGGAGUGGCAGAGGGUGAGGGUUGAUCUGAUAGAGGUUUAUAAGGUUAUGAGCGGCAUAGACAGAAUAGACUGUCAGUAUCUUUUUUCCCAGUUGGAAUGCUCCCAGAGGAGAGGUGCAGGGCUGUUUUUUUUAAUGCAGAGAGUGCUGGGUGCCUCACCACUGGUGCAGGUGGAUAUGAGGUGUGUGCUUAAGGGUCUAUUAGGUACGGACAUGGAUGUGGACGCUUCAUAUAGGCAGAAGGGAUUAGUUUGGCACAACAUAGUGGGCCAAAGGGCCUGUUUCUGUGAUGUAGUAUUGUUCCAUGUUCAAUUUUUAAGCAAAAAAAAUUAAAGACAUUAAAAUGUGUUUGCUGAGCCCACUGCUGUACCCAGUGCUCACUCACACAUGACUGCACGGCCAAGCACCUGAGUAAUCACGUGGUCACGUUCGCCCAUGACAUGGCAGUGCUGGGUCUCAUCACCUACAACGAUGAGAUGGUCUACAGAGAGGAGGUGGAGGAGCUCGAGGCCUGGUGCCUGGCAAAUAACCUCUUCCUCAAUGUCAGAGGAGAUGGUUACACGAGGAAAUCUGCAGAUGCUGGACAAACGGGACCCUUCGUCAGGCCCGAAAUGUCGACAGUGCUUCUCUUUAUAGAUGCUGCCUGGCCUGCUGUGUUCCACCAGCAUUUUUUGAGAGGAGAUGGUUACUGACUUCAGGAGAGCUUACACCCCUCCUUAUAUUGGCAACACGGGAGUGGAAACUGCAAUAAGUGGCAAACUCCUGGGGGAAGCACACCUUACACAAUCUCUCACGGUGCCACAACAAAUGCUGUAUAGUCAGGAAACAUCACCAAUGACGAGUUGGAGUACGCACAUCCAUUCUCACGUCGUCCCACAGAUUCUCAGUAGAGAGCAUCCUAGCAAGCUGCAUCACUGCUUGGUACAGAAACUGCACUGCGGUGGACAGAAAGGCUUUAUGAUGGGUAAUCAAAACUGCCCGGGGCAUCAUCGGCACCAGCCAAUCUGCUGUAAAGGACAUACAUCCAGUAAGGUGCCAGAAAAGGGGCAGUAACAUCGUGAAGGCUCACACCCAACCUGCUUACGGACUGUUUGUUCCUUCCCAUUAUGGAGGAGGCUAUGUAGCAUCCAUGUAACGCCCACUAGACUCAAAAAUAGUUACUUUCUCCAAGCAGUAAGGCAGAUCAGUGCCUCCAUCCACUAACCCAUCCCUCCACACCUCCCUCUCUACCUCUGUUUUAUCAUUUCCUGUUAGUCAUUUUAUAUGUACAGACACUCCUGCGCCUGUUGUCACUUUAUGGACAGUCUUUAUGUAUAUGCGUGUUACUGCCUGUUACACCACUAGCAUUUAGGGCAACAAUGACGGUUUUCCCUCUCUGGCGGAGAGGGCUUCCUUCAUCAUGUCAGGAGCUUCCUCUCGGUUUUCACCACUGUCAGUCAUGCAAGUCCCAGGUGGAGACUCAGGAAUACCAUCACACCCAGAUGUAGAAGGAUUCUUCGCUGCUGUUUCUGUAAAAAUUUUGUUUUACCCAUCAGGGUUGUUGGCCCUGAGCUGAACCCCCGAACCUGGAGGACCAGUGGGCCACUCUAAGUCUGGCCUCUAACCUUUGACCUGUUUGGAAUGGGUAGCCCUACCAAGAGCCAAGUCAUAAAGCCCUGGCUGCAGUCAGCAUAGCUCUCUGGGUCACUGAGGCACACAAGCCUUCGAACCACAACAAGAUUGUGGUCUUCUUGGGGGAAUCUAUGGAUAUGAGCUGUUUUAUAUGUAACCCCCUGGGUCGCCUCCGGCUCGCUCAGCUCGUUCUCGUCUAGGGAGAGCAGCCUUUGGCCACACCAAACUGGGUAAUCAGCUGGUGUGGAUGCUGUGUGAUGUCCCCGCCUCGCCCAAAAACAGACAGCACACCAUAUGCGAUUAAAUGAGUACAAUUUAUAAAGGUUACUAUAACUAAGUGAUUAAUAAUGAUACAGUAUAUAUGAAGAGAAAAAAUAAAGAAAAGGUGCCAAACUUAUCAAAGUCCAAACCACUUCGUGCACAAUCACCGAAGUCUUCUGGCCACCAUUCGAUCCCCUCCGAACUCCUCGACUCGCAGCUCAGGACCCUCCGAGUGGUCAACCAAGCACAUCUAGCUUCAUCCCCCCUCCUCGGAGUACCUCCUGGCCUCGGACCCCCGCUUGGGGUCCGUUCCUCGCCCAGCUUACAGCAUUGCGUCCUCUCUCUCUCACCCCCUCGCACCGAUCUGCCCAAAAGCCGGUCAACAAAAGCUUACAGACUCAGAAGAAAGAACAUUAAUCCCCAUUUGGCUUACAAAGGAAUACCAUUCUUGUUAUCAGUAAAUUUUAACCCAAACAAGCUUCCAGCACUCUCUCGCAACAAAGGAGCAUUCCUGCUAGUUAACCAAACAAAGCCCUUUUGAUUACAUACACAGUAACAAAGAAAAAAGAAGAAACCCCCUUAUACUCUUCCCCCCACCAAAUAAAAGUCAUGUCCUCAUGACUAUUAAAUAACUCGCCACCUUUCCUGCCAACACACCGUAACCCGAGCACAAACAGUGACAUCUCCUCCCCACACAGUAAACCUCACACCCUGUUCCUCAGGUGCUACUUAGGCCAACUAUCUGGGAGUUCCCUAACCCUUCUGAGACCUCCGUACCCCCUCACAAAACCCUUCAGGCUCAGACACAACUGGGGAUACCUUGGGCCCACUACCAACUCCUCUCUCAACCUCUCACUCAUGCUCCACACUGCACACAGCUAACCCUCCCUGCUACACCUGACUCAAUGGGAGAAGGGCCAAAGGUCUCUUCCUCAAUCGAGGGAAAGUCUGCAAAAGGCGGCAUGUACCACACAUCCAGCACAUCAUCCAUCGAAUCUGUAUUCUUCCUCAUUUCUGCGAUCGGUAGCUGCUGUUUGAUCUUCUCCAAACGGAAACACGUGGCCUGCACUGCUCCCGCAGUCUCUUCAGCCUCCUGUUCAGUAUUCACUGCACUUCUCUCCAGCUUUUUCUUCCUCAUGACUUCUUCCAGAUCAACUUUCAGGUUUUGCACUGUUUAUAUUUAUCGUGUUCUUUUAUUACUGUGUUCUUUACCUUAUUGCAUAUUUUGUGCGGCAUUGGAUUGGGAGAAACAAUUAUUUCAUUCUCCUAUAUACUUGUGUACUGGAAAUGACAAUAAACAAUCCUGAAUCUUGAAGAGUAUCUUUGCAAUAUGCAAGAGACUGAGGAUUUGCAACUUUUUUUUAUGAUUAGUUCUCAAAAUCCUACAGAUUAGCAACAGGCAUGUUAAUGUAUAUAGUUUGGGGAGGUCCAUGUGCUUUUACACCAUUUUCAAUUUGCACUGUAUAAAUUAGUUUGAAAAAUGUAAAAUGGAAUCAUGGGCAAGUUUAAGUGAUGCAUCAAAUUAUUUCCAAGGCAUAACUAGAUCAUUGAUUUAAUUCUUAAAUGCCAAUCUUGCAUUUGCUGCUUUGCUGAAGAGUGCCUGCUGACUCUAGGGAAGUUGGCACAGUCUGAUCAGUGAAAUCCACUUCCAGUCAAGGAGUUAGUAAUCACUGAUUAACCCUUUAAGGUCUGUGUUUAGUCUUUGGCUCACAAUACACAGGAUUAUCGCUGAAGCUCUUUGGCUUUCCAUUGAUGUUCCCACUUGGGAGAGAGGAUUAAAGAACAAUUUUGAACUUUUCCUCAACUAAAGGGAUAUCCAUUGUUAAAGAGUAUGAGGAGGUGACAAGCGUUCAUUUCAAGUGCACAAAGCAGGAAGAGAAUUUACUCCAUUGCAAAAGUAAAGCAAAUUUUAUUAUCGGUACAUACUAUAGAUAUCACCAUAUAUAACCUUGUGCAUACUCAGCAAAUGUAUAGAAUAGUAACUGUAACAGGAUCAAUGUAAGAUCAACCAGGGUGCAGAAGAUAACAAACUAGGCAAAUGCAAGUAUAAAUAAAUAGCAAUAAAUAAGGAGAACAUGAGAUAAUGAGAUAAAGAGUCCUUAAAGUGAGACCAUUGGUUGUGGGAACAUCUGAUUGGAUGGGCAGGUGAGAGUAGCUACUCCAUUUUGUUCAAGACCCUGAUGGUUGAGGGGUAGUAACUGUUCUUCACCCCAAUGGUGUGAGUCCUAAGGCUCCUGUACCUUCUACCUGAUGGCAGCAGCGAGAAAAGAGCAUGGCCAGGGCCAUGAGGAUCUCUGAUGAUGGGUGCUGCUUCCUACGACAGCGUUUCAUGUAGGUGUGCUCAAUGGUUGGGCGGGCUUUACCCUGAUGCAGUGGGCCGAACCCACUACCUUAUAGUUGUGAGCACAAAUUAUGCUUUUGACCGAGAAACACCAGUGGAAUGAGCUGCAGAAUCAUAGAACACACAAACAGGCCCCUUGGCCCAACUGAUCCACGCUGAUCACAAUGACUAUCUAAGUUACAUGUACUUGUGUGCUUUUGAUACACAUCCCUCCGAGAUUUUCUUAUCCGUGUCCCAGUCUAAAUGCCCUUAAUGUUGUUAUUGUACCUGCUUCAGCCACUUCCUCUAGCAACUCAUACAGUGCAUGCACCAAUCUCUGUGUGGAAGUCCUUGCCCCACAGGUUCAGUUUAAAUCUUUCCCCUCUCACUGUAAAUCUGUGCACUCUUAGUUUUUGAUUAACUUUCUCUGACAAAAUCAGCUGUAGCGUUCACCCUAAAUAUGUGAGGGAAAUGUUCUGUGUGAGAGCUGAUAUGUUGUGGGACUCACACCAGUCACAGCUUUCUGGAUAGGCCCACAGGGGACAAUACUUUACGAAGUAAAGAGUAGGGAGGCGGCUGGUGGAACCUUCAACGAGGAGCAGGCAGGAGUUUGAUGGGCCAAAUGGCUCCUUCUGUGGUGUUCAAUAGGUUGAUUCGUAAUAAAUGUUAAAUUUUCAAGUUUACAGAGCUGAUGAAAAUCCUUUAAACAAUUUGAAAAAUAGUAUCUUUUUUUACAGCAUAGGUGUCUUCACAAAACUGAAUCGUUUCAUAAGAAAGAUCCGCUAUUGGAAGUUUUCACUGGAUCAUGGAUUGUCUAUCUGCUGCUCUUGAAAUUACUUAGCUAAAUUUCGUCAACAGUAGCGAGCAGUUAGUGUGACGCUGUUUCCUCCAGGCACUCAGGGUUCCUCCCACAGUUCAAAGACGAACUGUGUAGAUUAAUUGGUCAUUGUAAAUUGUCUUGUGAUUAGCCUUGGGUUAAAUAGAUGGGUUGUUGGGAUCCUUGGGCUGGAAGGGCCUGUUCUGCACUCUGUCGCUAAAUAAAUAUAUCACUGUGGUGAACUACAUGUGCCUGUCUGGACACGCCCCCUGCUGACUGCUCCUGUGGCUCCUCCCACAGACCCCUGUAUAAAGGCGAUCAAGGCCUGAGCCCGGCCUCCAGGAUGUAGUAUGGUGGUCACUCACUGCUUGUUCCUUCUUCCAGUCAAUAA